rnacentral:lncRNA from 1 species
UUUUCCAGCACUACUUUGAAGGGGCUUAAGGGUGUAUUUAUUUUAAAAAGAAAUUGUGUCUUUGUGAAGGUACUUAACAGUUAUACUUUUAAAAUUUCUCACUGUACACCUUGUGUUUAUCUCUAAGUGUCACAAUCUUCUACUUAAGGUAUUCCUCUUGCUUUAUAAUAUUUAUGAAAUUAUACACUCAAUAUGCUUGGAAUUCCAAGUAUCCUCAAGAGAUAUGACCUGAUACCGGAAUCAACUUAUGCACAUAUUCCCAUUUCAAGUGGUUGUGGUUUAUCUGUACUCAUACUAGUGUACUCUUGUUUUCAUGGAGUGGAUUUACAUAGUUUCAGGGUGAACACCACAGAUACCAGACCCAAGCCCAAACAGAAAAGGUGGAGGUUUGGCAUUAGAUCAACAAGUGGUCAUAAGAGGCAUGUCAAACUACAAAAAGAAAAGAGAAAAACGAAAAGAAGUACCCUUGAUGGUUACGGCAGUCAUUGUUUUCAGGAUGUUUCUAAAUACUAUAUGCAAUUUCUCAGUCCUUUUGACUUAUCUAUGUCCUGAGAUUUUAGGGUUGAAUGGAUCUAACCCCUAGGUAGGGUUGUCAAAUAAGCAAGCUGUUCUUGAGAUACUCAUGCUGUGCUCGAAAUUAAGCUCAAGAUGAACUCGAUCAGUGCACAAGUGAGCCGAACAUGCAAGAAGUGUUCGAGUCAAUGUUUCUCGCACCACCUCAAACCGCUCGGUUCAAGACAUACCGACUGUACAGGGUUGGAACUAACACGAAAACACUACUUGGAUCGGUACAUGACCCAUACCAUCUUGUACCGCCCAAAAUCGAGGUGCGCAAUGUAUUGUACCAAUCCAUAGCACCUAGUUUCAAGCGAUAUCAUGAUAAA